GAAAUGCGAUAAGUAGUGUGAAUUGCAGAAUUCAGUGAAUCAUCGAAUCUUUGAACGCACAUUGCGCCCUUUGGUAUUCCAAAGGGCAUGCCUGUUCGAGCGUCAUUUGUACCCUCAAGCUUUGCUUGGUGUUGGGCGUCUUGUCUCUAGCUUUGCUGGAGACUCGCCUUAAAGUAAUUGGCAGCCGGCCUACUGGUUUCGGAGCGCAGCACAAGUCGCACUCUCUAUCAGCAAAGGUCUAGCAUCCAUUAAGCCUUUUUUCAACUUUUGACCUCGGACCAGGUAGGGAUACCCGCUGAACUUAAGC
rnacentral:misc_RNA from 1 species